UACGGGGGGGGCAAGCGUUGUUCGGAAUUACUGGGCGUAAAGGGCUCGUAGGUGGCCAACUAAGUCAGACGUGAAAUUCCUCAGCUUAACUGGGGAACUGCGUCUGAUACUGGAUGGCUUGAGUUUGGGAGAGGGAUGCGGAAUUCCAGGUGUAGCGGUGAAAUGCGUAGAUAUCUGGAGGAACACCGGUGGCGAAGGCGGCAUCCUGGACCAACACUGACACUGAGGAGCGAAAGCCAGGGGAGCAAACGGG
rnacentral:rRNA from 1 species